rnacentral:rRNA from 1 species
CGUGGGUAACCUGCCCAAGAGAUCGGGAUAACACCUGGAAACAGAUGCUAAUACCGGAUAACAACAGAUGAUGCCUAUCAACUGUUUAAAAGAUGGUUCUGCUAUCACUCUUGGAUGGACCUGCGGUGCAUUAGCUAGUUGGUAGGGUAACGGCCUACCAAGGCGAUGAUGCAUAGCCGAGUUGAGAGACUGAUCGGCCACAUUGGGACUGAGACACGGUCCAAACUCCUACGGGAGGCAGCAGCC